CAAAGCAGUACUUAAACCAUUUCAAUAAAUAAGUGCAACAUCUUCCCCUAUUUGAUUUCCUCCCUUGCAGUCUGGUACAGAGAGGAACCCUCACAGCCCCGGACUCCAGCAGAUAUUCUGGUUUGCAUGUUCCAGAUGAAGGAAGCCAUGUAUUAAUUUGGGAUGAGCCCUUGCAUUUCAUCACAGAAAGUAAAGAGAAAUCCUGAAAGUCAUAUAAUUUUGAUGUUGCCAUUAAGUUUCUCGAAGGCAAGAAGGAGAAAGACAGCCAUGAAUCCUCACUUUCACAGAAUCAGUGAAGAGAAGACAGGCAACAUAUGCCACUGGGGUAGAGUCCACAUCAUGGUAAGACCAAUGGAGCCUUUACUACUUAGUCAUUAUGUUUACAACCAGCCUUUAGAGAGGUGCAUGCAAAAGCA
rnacentral:lncRNA from 1 species